GUGAGUAUAGCUCAGUGGUAGAGUGCAUGCUUAGCAUGCACAGGGUCCUGGGUUCAGUCCCCAGUACCUCUG
rnacentral:tRNA from 1 species